CUGCGGAAGGAUCAGUAACAGGUAANUUACUACACACUGGUUUUUUUAAAACAAAAAAAAUCUAUCUAAAAACAAUUCUUUACAAGAAAUUCUUAAAACUUUCAACAACGGAUCUCUUGGUUCUCGCAUCGAUGAAGAACGCAGCGAAAUGCGAUACGUAAUACGAAUCGCAGCUCUCGGAAUCAUCGAAUCUUUGAACGCACAUUGCACCAUUGGGUAUUCCCAAUGGUAUGCUUGUUUGAGCGAAUACUUCCCUAAUCCUCACGGAUUGUAUUGUGUUUGCACGAAAAUAAUGACGACAGUACUCUACAAAACGGUACCGUCAGUACACUCAUUUUUUUUCCUCAAAUCAAGUAGGACUACCCACUCAACUUAAGCAUAUCAAUAAGGCGGGAGG
rnacentral:rRNA from 1 species